rnacentral:tRNA from 1 species
UGUUCUGUGGCUUAGUUGGUUAAAGCACCGGUCUAGCGAAUACGGGGAAUCGUUGGUUCGAAUUCCACCAGAACGC